rnacentral:lncRNA from 1 species
UCUUACCUUAGGGUCUGGUUGUGUCCGAUUUAUGCCAAACAUUUGCAAAUCGAUAAACUUGAACCCUGGUCCGAUAAGUGUGAUUUUGUAGGCUACCCCAAAAAAACUAAGGAAUAUUACUUCUACUUUGCUAAAGAAUAAAUAUUGUUUGGCAUUCUUUUUAGAAAAGAAGUUUCUUGAUGAAGGAACUAAUUCCUCUAAUAUUGAACUUAUGAAGUUUGACAGAUAGAUGAAUAGAUACAAUCUAGUGAAUUCAUAAAAUCAGAUUUGACUACAUCAAACCUGAAAUCUAUUGUGGAGGCACUAUUAAGG